ACGAAGGAGGCAAGCGUUGUCCGGAAUUAUUGGGCGUAAAGAGAGCGCAGGCGGUUCCUUAAGUGUGAUGUGAAAGCCCAAGGCUCAACCGUGGAAAGCCAUUGGAAACUGGGGAACUUGAGUGCAGAAGAGGAAAGUGGAAUUCCAUGUGUAGCGGUGAAAUGCGUAGAUAUUUGGAGGAACACCAGUGGCGAAGGCGACUUUCUGGACUGUAACUGACGCUGAGGCUCGAAAGCGUGGGGAGCAAACAG
rnacentral:rRNA from 1 species